rnacentral:rRNA from 1 species
UGGGGAAUAUUGCACAAUGGGCGCAAGCCUGAUGCAGCCAUGCCGCGUGUGUGAAGAAGGCCUUCGGGUUGUAAAGCACUUUCAGCGAGGAGGAAGGUGGUGAGCUUAAUACGCUCAUCAAUUGACGUUACUCGCAGAAGAAGCACCGGCUAACUCCGUGCCAGCAGCCGCGGUAAUACGGAGGGUGCAAGCGUUAAUCGGAAUUACUGGGCGUAAAGCGCACGCAGGCGGUUUGUUAAGUCAGAUGUGAAAUCCCCGGGCUCAACCUGGGAACUGCAUUUGAAACUGGCAAGCUAGAGUCUCGUAGAGGGGGGUAGAAUUCCAGGUGUAGCGGUGAAAUGCGUAGAGAUCUGGAGGAAUACCGGUGGCGAAGGCGGCCCCCUGGACGAAGACUGACGCUCAGGUGCGAAAGCGUGGGGCAGCAAACAGGAUUAGAUACCCUGGUAGUCCAGCGCUGUAAAACGAUGUCGAUUUUGGAGGUUGUGCCCUUGAGGCGUGGCUUCCGGAGCUAACGCGUUAAAUCGACCGCCUGGGGAGUACGGCCGCAAGGUUAAAACUCAAAGGAAUUGACGGGGUCU